rnacentral:rRNA from 1 species
UACAGAGGGGGCAAGCGUUGUUCGGAAUUACUGGGCGUAAAGGGCGCGUAGGCGGCCUUCUAAGUCGAACGUGAAAUCCCCGGGCUCAACCCGGGAACUGCGUCCGAUACUGGAAGGCUUGAAUCCGGGAGAGGGAUGCGGAAUUCCAGGUGUAGCGGUGAAAUGUGUAGAGAUCGGGAGGAACACCGGUGGCGAAGGCGGGUCUCUGGGCAUUUCCUGACGCUGAGGCGCGAAAGCGUGGGGAGCAAACGGG